rnacentral:ncRNA from 2 species
UAAAUUCUUUGUAGUUCAGGUGCUAUUGUCGAGCUUAAUAGGGAACCUCGUUGAAAUCGAGGACGGGCCCGCCGCUGUUAUCGGGGACGAAAACCGCAAAGUGCCACUGCCCCGCCGCAAGCGGGAUGGGAAGGUGCGGCACAUAGAAUGAUCCGAAAGUCAGAAGACCUGCCUGAACAGGGGAAAAACC